rnacentral:rRNA from 1 species
UAGAGAAUCUUGUGCAAUAAACGAAAGUAUGACACAGAGAGGACACAUUUAAUUGAGCCCGUCAAAUUAAGUGCCAGCCGACGCGGUUAAACUUAAGGGCUGGUCUUUAUAAGUAAAAAGGCGUAAAGGAUGUGUAGGCCAAGAAACAAUCAAAGUAGGUAAAUGGAAUUUUUCUGGAGCGGUAGAAUGUGAGGAUAGAAAAUAGAACCCCUAAGGUAAAAACUAUUUACCACAAGGUAGGCUGAAACAUGAGAGUGUGGGGAGCAAACAGGAUUAGAGACCCUGGUAGUCCACACUGUAAACUUUGAAGAUGAUGCUUAGCAGACCCGAAAGGUAAAAUCUUCCGCCUGAGUAGUACGAUCGCAAGAUUAAAAUUCAAAAACUUUGGCUGUUCACUAUUUCGAUUAGAGGAGCGUGUAGUUUAAUUCGAUGGUCCGCGUGUUACCUUACCCCAACUUGAAUCUGUGACCGGUAUUGCAUGGCCGUCGUAAGUUCGUGUAUUAAGCUAGAAGGGACCCAACCCGGGCAUUUGCCCGGAGGAAGUCAGGUCUUAUGAUCCGAAUGUUGGGGGAUUUUAUGCGCUACAUUUUCUUAUAUAAUGGGAAACCUGAAAGGUGAGCCUCUAAAGUAAGAGUUCGGAAGGUCGCUGUAAGACGACUGGAAGUUGGAUUUAAUAGUAAUCGGAAAGUAGGGCGUUCCGGUGAAUUGGUACAAGUGUUAGCACAAAUUGCCCGUCACCUUUACCUAGAAUGGUUAUUCGGACGUCUUCGGUGAUUACGAAUGCCUACGAGGUAAAGCAAGUCGUAACAUAU